rnacentral:piRNA from 1 species
UUUUCUCACUCAGUGCCUCUGU